AUGGCCACCUGCCUCUCUGACAUAAUAAGUGACCAUUCCAUUGAUUUCCUGGGUUUGCAAGAGACUCUGAAGAGAGACUUUCCCCCUAAACUUACUAGAAAAUUCGACCCCUUUGGCUCUUUCCAUUGGGAAUGGGUGCCUGCUGUGGGUAGAUCUGGUGGUAUUUUGUGUGGCAUUCGUAACAACACCCUGGAGUUGUUAGGGUGCACUAAAGGCAAGUAUAUCUUGCAGAUGGAUGUCAGGAACAUUAAAGAUAAAACAGCCUGGAGUUUUCUAGUGGUGUAUGGAUCGGCUCAUGAGGAGUUCAGGGAGGAGUUCCUGAGAGAACUAGCUCUUUUUUGCCAUAAUACAGAAUUACCCUAUAUAGUUGGAGGGGACUUUAAUAUCCUUAGGCACAAUGGUGAUAAGAACAAGAAAAUGCAGCAUUCUAAAUCUACGGAUCUGUUCAAUGCCAUUAUCAACACUCUUGGCCUUAGAGAGAUGUAUAUGAGUGGUGGCCAAUAUACUUGGUCCAAUAACCAGUCACACCCUACGCUUGAAAAGUUGGAUAGGGUGCUCAUAUCUGACUCCUGGGAACACUUAUUCCCAUUGGCAUCUUUAAGAAAAUUGGUCAGAGAGCUCUCUGACCACAACCCUCUCCUCCUAUACACUGAC
rnacentral:rRNA from 1 species